AGUCUGACAUAAAAGGGCAGCUCUAGCCUGGCUUGGACUGAUCAGGGCUCCUCCGUUCACAGCUGACCAUGAGGUUCCCUGCCCAGCUCCUGGGGCUCCUCCUGCUCUGGGUCCCAGGAUCCGAUGGGGCCAUCGUGCUGACCCAGACUCCACUCUCCCUGUCAGUCAGCCCUGGAGAGCCGGCCUCCAUCUCCUGCAGGUCCAGUCAGAGCCUCCUACACAGUGAUGGAAAGAAUUAUUUGAAUUGGUACCUUCAGAAACCAGGCCAGUCUCCCCAGCGCCUGAUCUAUAGAGCUACCAACAGGGACACUGGGGUCCCAGACAGGUUCAGUGGCAGUGGGUCAGGCACAGAUUUCACCCUGAAAAUCAGCAGGGUGGAGGCUGAGGAUGCAGGCGUUUAUUACUGCCAGCAAUAUAAAGAAUCUCCUCCCACAGUGAUACAGCCCUUAACACAAACCCCUCUCCUGGGGGCCCAGCUGCACACAUGGGUGUGCAUGUUGUGUGGGGAGCAGAGGGGCAGAUGCUCUGAGGCUGUGUAAG